UUGGGCUUUAGUUCAAACCAAACCCAAACCCCAUGAGCCAGUAUUCAACACGAUGCCAAAAAGCGCUUAUGCAAAUAAGCUACGAAAACAACUCAAGGUGAGAAGCGCUUAUGCAAAUAAGCUAUGAAAACAAAUCGUGGGUUUACGUUCACAAUAACAAACAUCACACUUCAAAUCAGAGCAUCACGCUCAUCACCAGCUCAGUAUCGCUCUCCAACUCACCUCUCCAUCGCUCUCACCAUCUCACGAUCGUUCACACCUAAGUCAUCAUUCCUCAACCAAAGCGCGAAAAGAGAAAGAAAAAUGGACAGGACGGCUCACCUUCGACGGUGACGGGGUACUCAGGUUCAAUGGAGAAAAUUUCCAGAAGCGCUUUUGUGUGCUCAGAAUCACUUUUAUCUUGUUUUACGCUACAAUCCGGAAACGUAAAAAAAUGUUGAAGAUUCCAAAAGCAGUUUCGGUUAUUACGGUUUUGGAGGUUAUGUCCGAUAUCGAUUCGGUGCGGGGAGCUUUUGCCUACCAUUGAGUUAUGCACUAUAGUUGGUCAUGUUAACAGGAAACGAAUGAGAUAUGCGUUGGUAGUGUCACAUUGAAACUUGGUGGGAUAUUUCAUGAAAUGCACUUUCCUUAUUGAUGCUUUGGUGCAGGCUUCUUUCCUUAUGAUAUGCAGUGCUGAUCCGAUUUGGCAUUGGUGGGUUAUUUGGGAAUUCUUAUGGGAUUGGAAUUUGGAUUUGAGGUGAAUUAUGGUUAUACCUUGGUUGUAAUUUUUGGAUGAAUUUUGGGAAUUGGUUGUAACGUAGGAGUUAGUUGUAGGAUAUGGAUGUGAUGCAUUGUUAUGCUUAAAUGUUAAAUGAAAAUGUAUGUAUGAA